AGUUUGUGUGUGUAGAAAAGUUUUGAUGUGAUAGAAUAGUUGGAAGUUUGAAGAAUUAUUUUGGAUCUAAACACGGCCCACAUCGCACUGCUGGUACCAGGUGAUUCAUUUUGCUGCCUUCAAUUGUGAAAUGAGAAAUACCUGUAAGUGAAGGCCUAAGCUCAAGGAAUAAUUUGUUCUUUUUGAAAACAAAAAGCUCAUAGGUAGAA